AUGAACAUUAUUCAGAGUUACUUUGAUGCUUCGGGACGGAAGGUUAACCUUGGAAAAUCAAGUAUCUUCUUCAGUAAGGGUUGCCUGAAUGCUAGGAGAGAAUUGAUAAAAGGAAUUUUGAAUGUACCAAAUGAAUCUCCAUCCAAGAGGUAUUUGGGACUACCAUAUGAUGUUGGGAAACCAAAGAACAGGACAUUUAAAUAUAUUAAAGACAAAUUGUGGAACAAGGUGAAGGGAUGGAUUGAGAAGUGCAUGGUAUCUUCAGGAAUGGUAAUACUAAUGAAGUUAGUAGCCUAUGCAGUUCCUAACUUCUCCAUGUCAUGUUUUAUUCUUCCGAGAGGUUUAUGCCAACAAAUUGAUAAAAUCUUGAGAAAAUUCUUUUGGGGCAGUAUGAAUGGUGAAAGAAAGGUGGCUCGGGUGUCAUGGGAGGUUCUCAUAAUGCCUAAAUACCAAGGUGGCUUGGGCCUUAGGGAUACAGAAUUAUUUAAUCUGGCCAUGUUGUCUAAGCAAGUGUGGAGACUUGUCCAAGAUCCAACUUCUGAGUGCAAGAAUUCUAAAGGCCCUUUACUUUCCAUAGGUGGAUGCAAUGUAAGCUGA
rnacentral:rRNA from 1 species